CCCCAGAGCCCUGCUGGGCUAGCCGCUUCCCAUCUUGCUGCAGGUUUCUACAAGAAAUUGCAGUGUGUCUGUGGCCACUUUCUGCCAGACUUCCCUGAAAACCUGCAAACAAGAGCCCACAUGUUGUCUUCAAGGACAGUUUGUGCAGAGCACAUGGGACAAGGAGCAUCUUGUAAAGAGCUGGGUGUGAGCAGGGCUUCUUGAGUUUCCUGACAAUAUGGCAGCUGGCUUCCCCCAAAGCGAGUGAUGCAAGAGAACAAGACUGAAGCAGCAGAGCCUUUUGUGACCCAGGCUGGGACAACCCACACAGUCAUUUCCUCAGUAUCCUUUUGGUUGCACAGGCUGAGGGGACUACCCAGGGUGUGAAUGACAGAAGGUGGAAGUCCUUUGGAGAUCAUCUUGGAGGCUGACAGCCACAGUAAGUGUUGCUUCAGUGCAAGGACAGAUAACUUGCCUCCUUCACACGGUUGGUUUGUUAUCAUUUUGUGGACAUGAGUAAUUGUUAACCUAUGAUGUGAAGAGAGGAGGAAAAGACCAGGAAUUUAUCAGCCACAUGAAACUCCAGUGAACAACAACAGUAAUAGUAAUCCUGUUCAUUCUGUUUCUGGAUCCUUGCAGCAUCAAACCGCUGUACAACCGGUGCCCACAGGCAGCAGGCUUUGUUAAUAUUUCCAGCUUCUAUGAAAUGGUGAAAUGAGGGGUCUUCUUGUGGUGAUGGUUAGCUGCAGCAACACAAGCAGCUUUGGAAGUUCAGAGAUGAGAUUGGUAAUCUGGGUGAGCUCAUGUGAAGGAUAUUUGAGCAGAGAGUAAAUUUAGGAUGGAUAAAUGCCCACGAUAAACAAAUAAUAAAUAGAUGAGAUGAAAUAUUUAUUUCAUGUUCAGGAUUAAGUACAUUAACAAGAUGAGGAGUCAGGGUGAGCCAGGGGAAUUUUAGGUUUCGCUGGAGACUCAGAGAGGUGAGAAGUGGUCAUGUCUCCAGGCAGGAACAGGGCCUCCUGGCUGGGAAGCCUAGCGGUGAUACUCAAAACACGGGUGUCUUAUGUCUACUGUCACUGGUUGUUAGCUGUGAGACCCAGGCAAUUGACUUCACAGUCCUCAAUUUCCCAUCUGGAAAAAGGGGUGAUAAUGGCAGACUCCUACAGUUGUGGCAAGGAUUCAGGGAGAUAAUACCUGGCCCGGCAUACAGGCUCUGGACUGCUUAACCGCGGCAAAGCUGAUGGCAAACCUCUAAGGCAAUGGCACCCCAGGUUUGAGGAACCCCUACAGAAGCUCUACUGGUUAGAAGGAUCCAGUGACAGUGGGCCCUAAACAGAAACUGACUUUGGCUAUUGUCUGGGGCUUCUGUAGGGGUGACCUCCGAGGAGGCUGGAUGGAACUCAGUCCCGCCUGCAACUGGGGCAAGUGUGGGCCUGGAGCCCACCCAGCCCCUUCCUGUCCUUCCCAGGUGUGAUUUUCAGCAGAGACAGCACCCUGGAGGAUGUUUUCUCUCGGAAGGCUCGACAUACUCUGCAGGACUUAGGCGAACUCGGGCUAAAUUUGCUGUCCCAACAAAUAGACCAGGCGUAGAGGUAACUCUCAGGCCCUGUGAGAGGUAGACAGAGUAAGGGGGCUUUGGCGGGGAGCUCUUCAGAGAUUCUGGGGUCUCUUCUGGCACCAAAGUCAUGGGCAGGCAGAGUAUGCUGGCUUCUUCUCAGGGCAUGUACUGUGGGCAUCGCAGCUACAUACUCUGUGGCCCCACAUGCCCAGGGUACAGUCAUGGUGGCCGGCCUGGCCCUGCCGCGUCUGCCCCCAUACUGUGAGCUGGGCCAGCCAUGGCUGCCUCUGGGCCUCAGUUUCCUCAUCUGAAGUGAGGAGACUGUGGCCUAGAUGAUCUUUCAGCCUCUCCCAACUUCAACACUCUGACUAAUGAUUGCAUUUAUUGAGCUCCAGCUGCAUGAAGGAGUGGUGUCUGGGCCCUGGGAGGUGCUGAUGCCACCUUGGGAGGAAGAGUCAAUCUGAACCUGCUGCUUCUAGCUGGCCCGGGAUGGCAGGGCUCAGAGUGGCCAGCCAGGCUGCAGGAGAGCCAAGUGCCAGGCCCAAGCUGCCAUUUGAAACGUGUCCUGUUGGUGGCACUUUGGCGUGGUUCAGGUGUUCUGAUCUUAGCAUGAAAACAUGCUAGCUCCGUUUUCUAUUAAAGUUCUAUUUUUUGCUCAUGCUCUC